GGUGGCUCAGUGGUAGAAUGCUUGUCUUGCACGCAAGAGGCCCUGGGUUCAAUUCCUCAGCACCA
rnacentral:tRNA from 1 species